GGGUCAGUAGGUUGGUCGUGCCACCGGUACGUACUGGUCUCAAUGAUUCCUCCUUCCUGAAGGACCGUAAUGCCAUUAAUUUGGUGUUGCGGGGAAACAGGACUGUUACUUCGAAAAAAUUAGAGUGUUUAAAGCAAGCUAACGCUUGAAUACAUUAGCAUGGAAUAAUGAAAUAGGACGAUCGAUCCUAUUUUGUUGGUUUCUAGGAUUGACGUA
rnacentral:rRNA from 1 species